ACAGGUGAGAGGAAGAGGGCUUUUCAGAGCAGUUGGCCAUGGGAGAAGGGUCCUCUGAGUCAGCCUAGUUGCCCUGGGGCAGAUUUUCUCCUCUAGGCUGAAAGACAUCAACCUGUGGGCCUUGAGUGUUACUGUCCCUGAGUUUGUUGAGAGCCUAGAGCAUGGAGGUCUGUGGACCUGAGAAGAGGAAGAGUAGAAACAAUGCAGGGGGAAGAGGUGGCAGAGCCAGGCCCGGAGGCAAAGGUCGGAGUGUCCCAAGUUCAGGAUGGCUUCUUCAAGUCCCGCUGGAAGGCAAGGAAUUGGAAGCAGGAGUCCAUCAUACGAACCAGAAACCCUCAUGUCCAGCUUUGUCACUUCCUAAUCCAAAGCGUCCCAGGAUCUAGAGAUCCUGACCACUCCAACUGGGCAAGAGCACUCGUGGUGACCCCCACAGGAAGUGCUAACGGGGGAUUCCAGGCACCGGGGAGUCCCCAUGAUCUGUGCAUCCCACAAGGGCCAUGGCCGCCUGGAUCCUAUCAUAGGCCAAGGCCCAGAGUGGAUCCCUGCACUCCCUCUGAGGUUAGAUGGGAAACUGGAGAGGACCCGGAAGACCUUUCUGUGCUGUAACAUCGGGAGCCUCCUGUGCUCAGGGCUCUGAGGGAAAGCUUAGGUCGCUUUCUCAAGGGAACAUCACUCGUAGGAGCCAGAGUCACAAGUCUGUGUGUGAGUCUCUCGCCAACCCACCGGCCGGGGCUGCCCAUCUGCGCGGAACAUCCUCUCUGCCUCCUGCCAGCACCGGCCCCACCUGCCCCAUCCUUCUGGCAGCUCGGUGAGGAAGGCUGGCUCUCCCACCCCAGGGGCGGCUCUUCCCACCCUCCUUGCCCCGCUGCUCCAUCCUGACAUUCAGGACCCCAGAGCUCGCUGACUUCAUGUUGAAUCUGUCCUCUCCCCUGAGACUGUGAGCCCUCAAGGAGAAGGGCCAGGUUCAGAUCCAUCUCUGUGCCCUGACACCCAGCACAGGGCCUGGCACAAAGUAAGCAAAUGUGAAUCUUUCUGGAAGGAAGGGAGGGAGGGAUGGGGAAGGGAGGAAUUCCAAAGCCCAUGCUCUAUUCUCUGUCCCACAGCUUCUGUUGACAGAAUCAAAGUCAGGAGUCAAGGGCCUCAGGUUUUACCCCCAAUUUGAUCUCUUUCCUCGAUCUCAUCACCACUGCCCCUUCCCCCAUUCCCUAGGCUCCCUCUUCCAUCCCCACUGCCCAGGGCAGCAGUCCCACCCUACCUCCCCCGCCACACCACCGGCAGCUCUCAGGGACUGCCAAUGCCAACCUCCCUCCAAUGAGGGCCCAGGCCUCAGUAAGGGCUCCCCUCACCAGGCUCUUGCCUUGAGCAGGUGACAAGGCCUUGAUCACAGACCAGUGGGGGAAGGGCUUGGAGGCUUGGUCUUGCCUUGAUUUCAAAGCACUUGAGAAAGUGGCACCUCCUCCACCAGUGCCAACCUCCUGCUUGGCCAGAGCCCUCAUGGUCCACGCUCCCCCCUCCAAGGUGGGUAAGGGGCUGGGGAGACUCCCAGUGUUUGUCAGCCAGAGUACUGUAGUUGGGGAGAACUGUGUUUCCAUGGAUACAAGCCAUGGGAGCUGCUUGGAGAUGGGGCCAUGGUGUACACAGACAUAGAUCCACACAGACCUGCAAGAAAAAUAGCAACAGAUUUGCUGAGUCAUUGGCCCCACAUAUUUAUAGUCUCUGGCAAAAGCAGACCUGCCUAUCAGAGGCUAAUAAUACUGCAGCAGUGUGUUAAUUGCAAAGACAGAGUCUUCAAGCAUCCAUUCAGACACCCGGGACCGCUCCUUGAAUAAAGAGUGGGGCCCUCGUAAUGAGAGCUGGCAUGCAUGUGAGUGUGCGUGUGUAAGAGUGUGUGUGUGUGCAGGUACGUGUAACCCAGCUCUAGCAGAUUAAGAAAGCUCAAGUAUCACCAGCUGAUCUCCAACCACCUACAGCGGUGUUGGUUAUAAAGCACUCUUCCAUCACCUAAGGAUGCCUAGGAUUCAGCUCAAGAGGAGUGCUGGACAGGAGAGGAAAGGAGGCUGGUGGCUCUCUCCCAGGAUGGGAGUGGGGCCAGGAUGCUGGUGUGCAGCCCCCAGACCUUCAUCCCACAGCCUGUGGGGACAGCCAUGGUCCUCCAGCGCUGCACAGUCGGGCAGUUGGAAGAACAGGAGAAAGAGACCUGUGCCUUCUGGGAUGUCAGCCCCGUGAGGCCACCUGACACAGGGAAAUACCUGCCGUGGCCUGAGAUGUGGCAUCCAUGAUGGACAUUUGCAGGACGAUACUGAUGCUCCUGCUGUGCCCCGUCACGGGCUGCCAAGUCCCCCCGAGAAUGUCUCUGUCACCCUAGCUCCUCAUUUGGGGGAAGACAUUUCAGCCCUAAAAUAAAGGAUCCUCUGGAGGAUGGACUGAGAAGACCCUGGGAAGACCAGAGGAUGAGCCUGAGGCCCAGUGAGAGGCAAAGUCAGCACUUUUGCCAAGGCCGAAAUCAGGUGCAUUCACUCCAGGGCUGAUGGAGCAACACAUGUUGCGGGGCUGGCCCUGGGCUGGGCAAUGGAUGGGACCGCGGGUGGAGCGGGCCACUCCUUGGCUUCCUGAGCUCCUGGAGGUUGAUGUGCAGAGACACUAUCUUUGCCUGCAGAUUUCCCAGGAGAAGCUGUCCGUGGCAAAGAGACAUAUCCAGGCAAUAUCGAAGCUCCACUCCAAUGCGGGGGGCUCCCUCCCCAGCUCUCUGCCUCCAGACUCCUAGCAAUGUCGUGCUUGGGAUGGCAUGAUUCCCCUGGAGGUGCCCAGCAGGCCUGCAGGUACACAAGCACUGGCUCCUUGGCUCCAGGCCCAUCUUGAGAAGGUAAGCCUUCCAUUUUCUCUGGUGUGAGUAUGGCAUGAUGUGCAUGCAUGGCUUCUCUCAGAUGCUGAAUAAUCUCUGGGUUUUCCAUCACUCACCAUCAGGGAAACCCCUCAGCCAAAGGCAAGAGAGCCGGCCAGCAUUUCAGGGUCGCAAACUCCCCUCUUCCAGUCUUCUUCCUCUUGUCCUCACUCACAGGCACCACUUGCACUAAAAGAUAAUCACUGCCC